rnacentral:miRNA from 1 species
ACAGGAAUCAUCUGGGGAUCUUAUUAAAAGCAGAUUCUAAUUCCUUAGAUUUGCUGUGGGGCCUGCAUUUUUAAAAGGUUUUCUGGUAAUGCCCAU